rnacentral:lncRNA from 1 species
UUGAAUCAAGUACUUUUUCAACAAAUUAUAUUUGGUCCGUCUCUUAAUAGUCUAUGGUGCCAUUUAAUUUGAGAAAGUAAACUUUUUUCCUAUCAUGGGAAAGUAAAUCUCAACCAUUAGAUUCAAGAGGAACAUUGAUUUUAUCAUAGUCUUUCUGCAUUAUAUUUUUUCCCUUUUAUCUUCAACCAUACAAUCAUCAAUCAACACAAAUAAACCCCACCAGCACCACCGAUUGGCUCAGACUAACCCAAUCUCCAACCAUAUAGAGGCAAACCAGUACAGGGUUGUGAAGGACUUUCCUUCUCACCACAGCGUAUGCGUCCAUUAAAGCAAGCACAAAACUCCAAAUGGCUUGUAAACCCAUUGCAGCUAUCAAGUAACUGCAAUAUAAAUGGAACAGUCAGCAUUAAGUAAUUCCGUAUGAAUCCAAGCAUGGUAUAUUGAAAAAACUGUUCAUCGUAUACACGCUAUAAGAGUAAAUUUCCAGACCACGAUAUUGAUAGUAAAACAGCUCGUCGUAUACAUAUUUUCAUUGCUAUAAUGGAAUCAAUAAGAGAAUGUGGUUUAUUUGUGUUGGUUGAUGAUUGUAAGGUUGAAGAUAAAGGGGAAAAAAUAUAAUGUAGAAAGACUAUGAUAAAAUCAAUGUUCCUCUUGAAUCUAAUGAUUGAGAUUUACUUUCCCAUGAUGAGAAAGAAGUUUGCUUUUCUAAAUUAAAUGACACCUUAGGUUAGAAACUUGUGUUUGAAACACC